rnacentral:rRNA from 1 species
AAAAUAGUUAUAAUUAUAUUACCCGAAUACAGAAGAUCUAAGUGUGCAUUUAAGUUAUUAGACUGAUUUUACUGUGUUCUGUGGCAUUAGCUAUUAAGAUGGUACCUUAGGGGUGAAAGGCCUUCAAUUUUGUAGAUAACUGGAUAAAUGUUAAAUAUAUUAAGUUUAAAGUAAAAUUACAAAGUGAUAAGAUUUUGUAAGUAUAAUUUUUGUAUACAACAUAGCUGCCACCGAUUAAUAAUUUCAGGUACAACUUAGGCGAUGAAUGAUGCUACAAUAUAAUAAUUAUCUACCAACAUUUCAUUUUACUAUAUUUAUUUUGGGAAUAGAUAAUGUAUAAAUAAGUAUAUAUAAAUAUAAAUUUUAAUUAAGGAAUUCGGCAAAUAAAGAAUACGACUGUUUAACAAAAACAUAGCCGGUAGCUAUUAAAUUAUCGGUGAUACCUGCCCAGUGAAUUUUUAACGGCCGCAGUACUAUGACUGUGCAAAGGUAGCAUAAUCAUUUGGCUUUUAAUUGAAGUCUAGGAUGAAAGGAUAAACGUACUCAAGCUGUCUCGACUAUAAAAUUUAUCAAAAUUAUUUAUAGGGUGAAAAUACCCUAACUAAGAAAAAAAGACGAGAAGACCCUUAGAAUUUUAAGCAUGGCCGGACCUAGGAACGGCGUGAUUUUUGUUGGGGCAACAUUUUUUCAGGAAAACAAAAUUAAUAUCUAAACCACAAAACGAAUAAUAUUAAUAAAGUAUAAAUUACCUAAGGGAUAACAGCAUAAUUUUAAGUAAAGAUUGUGACCUCGAUGUUGGAUUAGGGGCUAUUAAGGCUAGUCGUUUUAAUAUAAUAGGUUCUGUUCGAACUUUAUUCCCUA